AAGGGGGUUAUUAGAUAAAAUAAGCUCUGCUAAUUCUUAUUUCCUGGGUUAAACUCCUUGGCCCCCUUG
rnacentral:tRNA from 1 species